CUCACUGACGGCGAGCGACUUCGUCGAAUUUUCAAAUUACCUGUCCAGGGACAGGAAGUACCCGAGGCAUUGUGGUCAGCUGAAGGAGUUCGACGUAGCAAGCGACAGGAAGUUCUUUCGUGUGACUUUUAAAAGUAAUGACAGAUACGACGGAACAGGAUUUAACGCCAGCUACGUGUUUGUGGACGAAGAAGGGAAUUAUACAACAAAGCCACCAACGAGUAACGCGUCAACGUUAAAAGGCGUAUCGCUGCUGGUGUCGCUGUUCACGAGUCUGCUGCUCGGUCGAGUUUCGCUUUAAUUACGAUCGGUAACUAGUUGGAGGGGUCUUGGCUCAAUUUACAACGAACUGUAACUCCGAGGAGCCGGAACCAUCCGAAAUCUCCCAUCAUCAUCCGGCAUGCCGGGGAAAGUGGCCACAUUGUUUGCGCAGCGCAAGAUGGCCGACAGCGGAGCCGAUCCUCCGACGACACGGGACACCAUAAUUCGUUUAUUAGGUUCAUCGACGCGCCGACAGACACGAGGCCGAUCCGAUCUCUCCGUCGUCGAGCGACCACCCCGCGGAGAAAAAUAUUGGCAAUAAUGUACGCGAACUCGCCCCGAACGGGACAAUUCCCGUGGAGAAAAUCUAAAAGACGAUCGAGCAUCCGGACUGCGUUUCAUUGAAGUACCUUACACCGAGGAAUAUCGAGUUUUCUUUUAUCCGUUCGAGCCCGAUUCAAAGACGACGGCGUCGAUCACUCGCGGACGUUCGGUCGAAGACGCGAACAAUAUAACGACGCGCGCCGUCGUCGGGAACGUUGACUCUGGGAACGUUGUCGUUCAUUCUCGGCAACGAUUGUUCGACGGAGACACGCGGUUCAAGGGAAACGCUCAUUCGUAGAUCGAUCACCACGUAGACAUUCCUUCGCGUCUUACGAUUAAUUAACGGCGUUCAAUUAGGUAGCGUAAUGGAAUCUCGCGUUCUUUUUAGGACUAACGUUACUUCCUUUCGCGUAGGCAAUUUCCCGGAUUCGCUCUUGGUUUCGCCGGGAACGUAUACUUUCGAUUGCCCGUCUCACCGAUAGACAUCUAUUUUCCAAACGUUCGUUUCCUUCCUGCGCGUUUUUACGACCGGAGGAACUUGCUUACUACCGACCAAAGUGUACCGUACACGUUUCACUGAGAAGCAUCCGCAGAACUGUUUCGUUUUCGAGUCGAGGAUCACCCUACUAGUGUACUUAAUUAAUCUAACGAACACGUGCGAGACGAGAGAAAGAAAGAGAGAAAGAGAGAGAGUGAAAAAGGAUGUUACGCGUGCUGUGUGUUGUAAGCAUUUGUUGUAACGCGAAGCGUUCCGAAGCCGAUGGAUCACGGACGUGUUUCUCUCCUUGUACGGAAACGAAUUUAUUAAAUCGCAAUGAAAAAACUCUGUCCGUUCGACGAAUCACUGGAAAGUCAGGCGUACAAUGAACGAUCUUAACGUGACACGAAAAUUUGCCUUCCUGAGUACACGAGAUCCGACACGGACCCAUUUAUUAUUACAUCCUCUAUACGACUGUGAUGUUUCCAUUCCUUCUUAGUUCAUUAGAAAAACGUAUACAAGUCUGAUUAUGCGGGAGAACAAACAAAAAGAAUAAUAGAUACUCGUGUGACGAACUAAACGAAAAAGACAAAAAAAAAGAAAGAAGAGAAAUGACGAACGAACGGAUCGCCGACCGAACGAACGAACGGCUGCGAACAGCCGUUACGGGGAACGCAGGAGGAUUCAACGACGUUCGAGGUUUUGAUACGUUCGAAUUAACGAUGAGGGGUGUCGUAAGCCGAGCAAAGACGCGUAAUUAGCCGGACUCCGAUCCGGAGAUAUCCGCGCGUGUACCCGAAAGUUUCGAGCAUUCGAUUUGAAGACGGUCGCUUCAGCGAAUAAGUUGCUCGAGAACUAGUGGAUAAUUGCGCGUGCGAGUCCGUUAGAGAUGUUGUUCUGUUAUAGUUUGAACGAUAUAUUUAUUACGUAGAGAAUAACAUAGCGAGAACGUUGUGUAACGAGAGUUCGAGUGGUGCUCCAAAUUUUUUAGUUGUCGAUCCGAGGAGAAAGAGCGCGACGAUGUUAACGAUCGAUCGAACGGACAAGUACGGUACCACCGACCACCGUGCCGAGAGUUUGAAGUAAUUUUCUGAAGCCGUCUCGAUCGCCGAAAAGGAACCCUGUAACAUAAUAAACAUUCACCGAGAACUUUGUACAAUAUUACUUUUCGAGCGGUCCAAGCUGCUCGAGCUGAACCAGCUGCGACGCUGGCAGCGUUGUCGGGCGCGUAAAUAUGUCCGCGUCGAAAGUUCGCUCGCUCGAGAUGCAAUCGAUAAAGAUAAAUGUUUCACGAUCGAUGUAAAAAGGCCGCGUGGAUGCAUAAAAAGAGCUGCAUCAACUCGCCGGUCAACGAGAGAGAGAGAGAGAGAGAGAGAGAGAGAGAGAGA